UCCCCGUUAUCCUGGGCAGUCCCUCCAGAGUUCCCGGCAUAACCCGUUGGCAACUAGUGACAGGGGUUGCGCUCGUUGCAGGACUUAACCUAACACCUCACGGCACGAGCUGACGACAACCAUGCAGCACCUUGAAAAUUGUCCGAAGAAAAGUCUAUUUCUAAACCUGUCAAUUCCCAUUUAAGCCUUGGUAAGGUUCCUCGCGUAUCAUCGAAUUAAACCACAUAAUCCACCGCUUGUGCGGGCCCCCGUCAAUUCCUUUGAGUUUCAAACUUGCGUUCGUACUCCCCAGGUGGCUAACUUAUCACUUUCGCUUAGUCUCUGAAUCUUAAAGACCCAAAAACGAGUUAGCAUCGUUUACGGCGUGGACUAC
rnacentral:misc_RNA from 1 species